GAAUGUUUGCAGGAUAUAAAAUCCCAGACCUCCUAGCAUGAGGUAAUGCGCUACUGGUAAUGGUGGUUCCCAUUAGCCCAAGGGCCCUCUAGAAAUCAACAACAUGUAAACAUUCAUUGGAAUGAAUGAUUCAUGUUUGGUCAAAUGUACAGCUUGUAGAUAUUGCACCGUGGGGCAGGCCAGAGCUAUAGAGAGAGAGAGUUGCGACACUUCCAUUGGACUCCGUUGUAGCGCCUACUUCCGGGGUAUGGAGCCUCGAAUAGUUCCAAACAACCAUUUUACGGCGUAGGAGACCGUUCAUUUCCAUUGCUGGCCGCCGAGUAACUUCUGAGUUGCCUUAUUAGGUCCUCCACAGUCGCCCCAUCAGUCCCUGGCAGUCUGGUCCCUGGAGCAGCUGGCCCUGGCAAAAGUUAUUCCUUCACUGUUGACCCCUGACUGACUGGCCCUCGGCACACAAAUCCCUGGAUCACCUGCCACUGGAUCACCUGCCACUGGAUCACCUGCCCCUGAAUCACCUGCCCCUGGCAAUGUGGCCUCUUGAUUGCUCUCUCUGUCUCCUGUGAUGUCCUUUUCAACGCUCUUGAAAUCCACCUAAAUUUCUCCCUCAAUCUCUGUAACAAUUACAAGGUAAUGUUGAUGUUAUAUGUAUUUUGCCUUUGCAUUUGCAACUACUGUCAUCUCCAAUGUAAGAAAAUGAAUUAAAGCAAAACAUUUCUGUAAUGUGAAUUAAAUCAUCUGCCACAAUCAGAAACCAAUACAAUUUAUAAAUGGAUCUACCGGCAAUUGUUAAUUGGGUAGAAAUGUGUCGAUUAUCUACAUUGGGUGCAAAUCCUCAGAGAAUCCCUGCCUUCUGGUUGUUUUUUAAACUGAAUGUGCAAAUAUGAAUUAUGUAAUCUCAUUAGGAGUGUAGUCUAUCCUUGAAUUACAUGAAAUGGGGAAUAUUGUAAGCUGCAUGGAUCAUACCGAAGUUUAAUUUGGCGCAAUAUGGGUGGUCCGUUGCACUUGGUUCCGGAGGCACCCUCACAGAAGGGGGUUUCCUCCUCUUCGGUUUAGGGCGAUGGAUGAAAACUGUUGGGCCUGCAUCGGGCCUCAACUUCAACAUCCUAUCUACUUUUGUGGCUUUGAAUUGGUCAUUUCCAAAGUGUACCUGUAGGUAGGCUUUAAUAUCAGUUUCCGUUGCACUUCAAAUAUCAUUGGAAAGUCAUAAUUCUCUACACUACAAUUAUUAUGCCCUUUGAAAUGCUAGCAAGUGAUUUGAACAUUACGUUACAUAGUUUUUGACUGUUGCUGACUGUCAAUACGUUUUGACGGCUGACCAUUGCCAUCCAUUUCUCCCUGCGCUCUUGGUCCUUGGGGAAGCCGUGAUAACCCUUCUCGGACCGAUUGGAGCAUCCAAAUGCUGCACAGCCAACCAUGGUAUGACCAUUGAUCUAUAAAAUGUUAGUUGUAACCAAUGAACCAUGAC
ensembl:lncRNA